rnacentral:misc_RNA from 1 species
CUGUAUCGACCUUCUCUCGCCUCGCCCGCCCGACCUGCCGCGGCCUAUCGCAGCCGCACGACCUCAAAGUUCAGGUGCGUCUCGCUCGUUCGCUCGGCUUGCACGCGGCGUGGGAUGGGACUUGGGCGCAUGCGAUGGUAGUGUGCGAGCUCUGCGGAGGGUUGCGUGGUGGCCGGCCUGCUGGAAAAGCGGGAAACGGACUCGGGAAAUUCGGCUGCUCCUCCCGCGAGGACUCGACGAGUGGGUGUGCGACAGCAUAGAGCACGAGCCCUCGCCACCCGUGACGACAUGCCACGCCACGGCGUUUCCGUGUGCUGCUACGCUCAUCGCUGGAACGCGUCUUUUGCGUUCAGGACUUGUUCUGCAGGCUUUUCUGUCGAGCUCCUUGCCCUUUCUCCGCUCUCCCGCCGUUUGAGCUGGACGAGCUUCCGCUACGGACGUCACCUGAUUGCCUGCUUAUUCUGUGGGGGCCGCUGCGCUGAGAAGGCGACCACUUUGCCGCAGGUUUCGCUCUUUAAGCUUCAGUCAUCCUCUCAGGGUUCAGAGGAGCGAGGAGGGGAAGAGUAAGAGCAGGGAGAGGACGAGGGAGAGCUGGAGACGACUACUGCCCCUCCUUCCCUCUCCCCUCCGAAGGCAGGCUAACCAACUCUUCACUCAGACUCGAAGCGCCCUUCAGUUGCAUGAACAUGAGCAAGAGCAUGGAGGCAGGACAUUUGGACUUCGGCACCGCGAGAUUCGUGCAGCGCUCGUGCGAGCUGAGCUGCUAGCGCUAGACUGCAGCCGCAGACUCGCACGCCACUCGUGCGAAGAGAUGUCUUCGCACGUCCGCCUCUCCAUCCUUCUUUGCCCCAUCGCCGACGCCUGCUCUCCCUCCCUCUCCAGUUCCCGCUUCAAAACCCUGCACCCACAUCUUCACCUUACGCCUCACACCGCUUCCCGUAUUGGUCUCGCUCGACGCCAACUCGCUCAGCCACUUGAUCCUCGUCCAUCCUCUCGAUCCGCCCAUUCAUCCCGCUCUCCUGCGGACACCCUUUGAGGAUAUAUUUGUUGGUGGUGCCGCCUGAGAUGUGUGCCAACUAUCCGAGCGCGGAGAGUUUUGCAAAGAAGUGCUCUGAAGAAUUGCGGGAAGCGGGUCUAAACAGACAUUGCGCCAUUGAACAAGUGCUCCUCAAACCACUCACUCUAUUUGCGCAUCCUUCGAACCGGAGCCCAGCGACACUUCUGCCUCUUCCUCGACUCCGCCCUAAUUUGCGCUGCACCUUUGCCACCCGCACGACAAGUUCUCCGUGGUGCCAAACGUUAAGGGCUGGCGGACGUCGCUGAACAAGAAAGUGAGAAGGAGGCAUCGUGGUCGCUGAGUAUGCAUCGAGUGCAUAUGUGGAACAGAGGAGGGAAGCUGCGACAGACGAGACGAUGGUUGUGAGGCUGAAGAGGAGGCAGACGCACCAGUGGGACAGAUGAGCGGGGUUUCGAGAGCGUAU